ACCUCUAAAGAAAAAUUCUCUCUGAAACAAUUUUCAAUGUGAAACGAGGUGGUGCUAAAAGAAGGCAAACAUUUGUGGGACACUUGUAGAACCUUUCCCCCCUUCCUAUAGAUUACUUGCUGUGAUGUGCUUCCCCUUUGUAAUACAUUUUAAAUUGGCUUCAGACUUCAAGCAGUCGUAAUCUAGUUUAUUCUCGCUCCUAGUAAGAGAUUAUCCAGCCAGGAAGCAUGAAGAAGCUAAUUAUUAGCUAGACAUAAAGUUAUUUCGCACAAAAUGCGUUUCACUUCGUAUACAAUGUUUCCCUGAAAAGUGUCCUUUUGGUGGUGGGGAGGGGGCACAACUAAAAAUAUUUCAAUUUAGCAAACAAAGCAAAAAUUAAUUUGAAAUAAACCAAGGCCUGUUUUGCUAGAUUAAUCGUUUGCUUAUCUUUUGUAUAAUAUACUGGAAGAUGUGUAAACUAACUCAUUAAUUCAUAUUCCUCCACCACCACCCACCCCACAAGCUUACUUAUGUUCUUUUGUAGGUUUUGUCUGAUAAGCACUUCAUGAAUACGAAUGCAAUAAUUCACAGGCAAGAGGUGAACUUGUGAGGUUACCCACAAAGUGAGACACUUUUUGCAGCAGGAGUUCCAAAAUGAUUUAUGAGGAGCAUUUCCUUAAGUGUCACAGUGUUGUGUUGCAACGUUCUUGGGAAUUUAAACACCAUCACUGGCAAAGUGGCAUGCAGUUGGGCCACCUGAUUGCAGUGUGCAUUCAGGGUGACAUGAAUCUCUCAACAGCAUUUUGGUACAGAGCUCGAGAGUUGCUCCUGUUUAACAGGCAGGGCCCCUGAAUUCGAUGCUGAGGAUCCCCUUGAGGAGAUUGAUACCUGACAAAGAGCCCAGGCUUUCCAUGAUGCUGGAAACAUCACCAAAAAACCCACAAAACUUCCUUCUGUUCUGAAUCUUUCAACAUUCAGAGAUUCUGAUGACUCUAGUUUCUAGUAUUACGACCAAGGUAGAAAAAGUUCCCUAUCUACUUUGUUUUUCUUGUGAGCUCGCCAGAGGCAUCUUACUGUCCUCUAUUAGAAAUGGGUUGCAGGGCAAGAUGAAUCUUUGGUCUGAUCUGUUCUUCCAUUCUGAUAAGACGAUGGCAACAACACAGAGGUAUGCAUUUCAUAUGUGAAUUAGCCAACAGGCAGAACUUUCUGAUCUGCCAGGCAUCAAGUGCUUAGUAAUCAAAUAAUAAACAAAGGUAUGGGGACAUAUAUAUUUUUAGUCAGGCCAAAGGAAAAUUACAUUAAAUGAACUGUUCUGAUAAUGUAAGCGGCAGCAGAAACGGCUGACUAACUAUGGAAUAAAUUUGUCAGUUUAAAUUCUAAGCCAGAACACUUUUGGUAGAGAGUAUUUUUAUUACGACUAGUACAACUAUUGUUAUUAUUUGGACAUUAAUUUAGUAGCUGAGGAUACUGUGCAGUUGUUUGAGCAGUUAUUAAACAAAGUGACAUAUAGGAUUAAUACAGUACUGUGAAUUGUCAAGAUCCUGAGGAUUCUGCAUCUUAAAUUGCAUAUGCAGAGGCAGACUGUAUUUAGCACGGAGAGUAGUGAAUAGAACUGUCCUUGAACCUAGUGAGAUCUGGGUUCAACUCUGGACUGGGCCAUGAAACUUACUGGAUGACCUUGGGCCAGUCACUGUCUCUCAGCCUAACCAACCUCCUGAAGGCAAAAUUAGUUCACUCUUUGCAGAUAUGCCGCCUUCGACUCUUUUGCAGCUAUGUAAUAAAUGCAUAUGCAGUUCAAUCUUGUGCAUGUCUAUUCAGAACAAAUCCUCCCUAAACUCCAUGUGGAUUUCUCCCAGAUGCCUGUGUGUAGAAAAGCAAUCUUAAUUAAUUAAAGGAAUAAAUUGCACAUUUCUUUCCUCCGGAA